GCCCGUGUCUCACCCCCACAACAACCCUCAUAUUAAACCUCUCAACCCACCUUUUCAGAAAACCAGUGAUAACAAACGAAGAACACACGUCACGCGGCCGGAUUUCAAACGCCGAAAGUCAUCGAUAGGAUACGCGACACAGAACUACCAUUUUACAGAUAAGAAGUGUCGCCGCCGACUCGUAGUCUCGUACCGAAGAACCGAAAAGAUGACGCCGCAUCCGAUGGCUCCAAAACCCGAAGUCUCCGUUCAUGUGUACUACCCACUGAAAAGAAAGUUUUAGUAUGCCAAAGUCUGGACAAUCAUC